rnacentral:rRNA from 1 species
GACGAACGCUGGCGGCGUGCUUAACACAUGCAAGUCGAACGGAAAGGCCUCUUUCGGGGGGUACUCGAGUGGCGAACGGGUGAGUAACACGUGAGUAACCUGCCCUUGACUUUGGGAUAACUUCAGGAAACUGGGGCUAAUACCGGAUAGGAGCUCCUGCUGCAUGGUGGGGGUUGGAAAGUUUCGGCGGUUGGGGAUGGACUCGCGGCUUAUCAGCUUGUUGGUGGGGUAGUGGCUCACCAAGGCUUUGACGGGUAGCCGGCCUGAGAGGGUGACCGGCCACAUUGGGACUGAGAUACGACCCAGACUCCUACGGGAGGCAGCAGUGGGGAAUAUUGCACAAUGGGUGGAAGCCUGAUGCAGCAACGCCGUGUGCGGGAUGACGGCCUUCGGGUUGUAAACCGCUUUCGCUCAUGACGAAGCUUUGUGUGACGGUAGUGGGUAAAGAAGCACCGGCUAACUACGUG